rnacentral:rRNA from 1 species
CUUGACCUCGGAUCAGGUAGGGAUACCCGCUGAACUUAAGCAUAUCAAUAAGCGGAGGAAAAGAAACCAACAGGGAUUGCCCUAGUAACGGCGAGUGAAGCGGCAACAGCUCAAAUUUGAAAUCUGGCGUCUUUGGCGUCCGAGUUGUAAUUUGCAGAGGGCGCUUUGGCAUUGGCAGCGGUCCAAGUUCCUUGGAACAGGACGUCACAGAGGGUGAGAAUCCCGUACGUGGUCGCUAGCCUUUACCGUGUAAAGCCCCUUCGACGAGUCGAGUUGUUUGGGAAUGCAGCUCUAAAUGGGAGGUAAAUUUCUUCUAAAGCUAAAUACUGGCCAGAGACCGAUAGCGCACAAGUAGAGUGAUCGAAAGAUGAAAAGCACUUUGGAAAGAGAGUUAAAAAGCACGUGAAAUUGUUGAAAGGGAAGCGCUUGCAGCCAGACUUGCCUGUAGUUGCUCAUCCGGGUUUUUACCCGGUGCACUCUUCUACGGGCAGGCCAGCAUCAGUUUGGGCGGUUGGAUAAAGGUCUCUGUCAUGUACCUCCUCUCGGGGAGAACUUAUAGGGGAGACGACAUGCAACCAGCCCGGACUGAGGUCCGCGCAUCUGCUAGGAUGCUGGCGUAAUGGCUGUAAGCGGCCCGUCUUGAAACACGGACCAAGGAGUCUAACAUCUAUGCGAGUGUUUGGGUGUCAAGCCCGAGCGCGUAAUGAAAGUGAACGGAGGUGGGAACCUUUCGGGGUGCACCAUCGACCGAUCCUGAUGUCUUCGGAUGGAUUUGAGUAAGAGCAUAGCUGUUGGGACCCGAAAGAUGGUGAACUAUGCUCGAAUAGGGUGAAGCCAGAGGAAACUCUGGUGGAGGCUCGCAGCGGUUCUGACGUGCAAAUCGAUCGUCAAAUUUGGGCAUAGGGGCGAAAGACUAAUCGAA